rnacentral:rRNA from 1 species
CGCGAAGAACCUUACCUAGCCUUGACAUGUAUCUGCAAGCCUAUGAAAGUAGGCCGCCUACGAGGGUGAUACACCGGUGCUGCAUGGCUGUCGUCAGCUCGUGUCGUGAGAUGUUGGGUUAAGUCCCGCAACGAGCGCAACCCUUAUUUCUAGUUGCCAGCACGUAAAGGUGGGGACUCUAGAAAGACUGCCCGCGCAAGCGGAGAGGAAGGAGGGGAUGGCGUCAAGUCAUCAUGGCCCUUACGUCCAGGGCUACACACGUGCUACAAUGGCACCUACAGAGUGUUGCGAGCUGGUAACAGUAAGCCAAUCACAAAAAGGGUGUCUCAGUUCGGAUUGAGGUCUGCAACUCGACCUCAUGAAGCUGGAAUCGCUAGUAAUCGCGCAUCAGCAAUGGCGCGGUGAAUACGUUCCCGGGCCUGUACAC